rnacentral:rRNA from 1 species
UGCCUCAGUAACGGCGAGUGAAGCGGCAACAGCUCAAAUUUGAAAUCUGGCUCUAGGGCCCGAGUUGUAAUUUGCAGAGGAGUCUUCGGGUUUGACUUUGGUCUAAAUUCCUUGGAACAGGAUGUCAUAGAGGGUGAGAGUCCCGUACGAGGCCAAAGAUCUAUUCCCAUGUGAAGCUUCUUCGACGAGUCGAGUUGUUUGGGAAUGCAGCUCAAAAUGGGUGGUAAAUUUCAUCUAAAGCUAAAUACCGGCGGGAGACCGAUAGCGCACAAGUAGAGUGAUCGAAAGAUGAAAAGCACUUUGAAAAGAGAGUUAAAAAGUACGUGAAAUUGUUGAAAGGGAAACGCUUGCGACCAGACUUGCGCUCAGGUGAUCAACCGGUGUUCUCACCGGUGCACUCUCCUGUUUGCAGGCCAGCAUCGGUUUAAGCGGUUGGAUAAAGACCCUGGGAAUGUAGCUGCCUUCGGUCAGUGUUAUAGCCCAGGGUGCAAUGCAGCCAGCCUGGACCGAGGACCGCGCUUUUUGCUAGGAUGCUGGCGUAAUGGUUGUAAGCGACCCGUCUUGAAACACGGACCAAGGAGUCUAACAUCUAUGCGAGUGUUUGGGUGUAAAACCCAUGCGCGUAAUGAAAGUGAACGGAGGUGAGAGUCCUUAAGGAUGCAUCAUCGACCGAUCCUGAUGUCUUCGGAUGGAUUUGAGUAAGAGCAUAGCUGUUGGGACCCGAAAGAUGGUGAACUAUGCCUGAAUAGGGUGAAGCCAGAGGAAACUCUGGUGGAGGCUCGCAGCGGCUCUGACGUGCAAAUCGAUCGUCAAAU